AACGUAGGUGGCGAGCGUUAUCCGGAUUUACUGGGCGUAAAGGGUGUGCAGGCGGGCUGUUAAGUGGUGUAUGAAAUAUCCCGGCUCAACCGGGAGAGGUUAUGCCAGACUGGCAGUCUAGAGAGCGAGAGAGGGACGUGGAAUUCCGGGUGUAGUGGUGAAAUGCGUAGAGAUCCGGAGGAACCCCAGAGGCGAAGGCGGCGUCCUGGCUCGCAUCUGACGCUCAGACACGACAGCAUGGGGAGCGAACGGG
rnacentral:rRNA from 1 species